GUCCUAGCCUUAAACGAUGAUGACUUGGUGUGUCGGGUUUUCAGUCCCGAUGUGCCGGAGCUAACGCGUUAAGUCAUCCGCCUGGGGAGUACGGUCGCAAGACUGAAACUCAAAGGAAUUGACGGGGACCCGCACAAGCGGUGGAGCAUGUGGUUUAAUUCGACGCAACGCGAAGAACCUUACCUAGGCUAGAAUGCGAAGGACGAAGGUGCAAAACAUCCUCUUCUAUGGGAAACCAUAGACCUGAAGCAAGGUGCUGCAUGGCUGUCGU
rnacentral:rRNA from 1 species